rnacentral:antisense_RNA from 6 species
CGUUAUGGCGGCUGUGCGUGGGAGACUUUCGAGUCUGCCGGGUUUGCCUUUUACCUCGGUUUUUCCAGCCCUCGCAUAGCUGCCACCUCU